rnacentral:misc_RNA from 1 species
UCCGGUUUGGCACCGGCAGUCCUCCCAGAGUCCCCGACUUGACUCGCUGGCAACUGGGAGCGGGGGUUGCGCUCGUUGCGGGACUUAACCCAACACCUCACGGCACGAGCUGACGACAGCCAUGCAAUACCUGUCAGGGGCCCUUACGGACCCUGCAUCUCUGCAGGUUUUCCCCUGAUGUCAAGCCCAGGUAAGGUUCUUCGCGUUGCAUCGAAUUAAGCCACAUGCUCCGCCGCUUGUGCGGGUCCCCGUCAAUUCCUUUGGGUUUCACCGUUGCCGGCGUACUCCCCAGGUGGAUAACUUAUCGCUUGCGCUAAGCCGCUGGCUGUAUAUCGCCAACAGCGAGUUAUCAACGUUUACAGUGUGGACUAC